GUACGGGGGGGGGCAAGCGUUUGUUCGGAAUUACUGGGGCGUAAAGGGCUCGUAGGCGGCCAACUAAGUCAGACGUGAAAUCCCCUCGGCUUAACCGGGGAACUGCAUCUGAUACUGGAUGGCUUGAGUUCGGGAGAGGGAUGUGGAAUUCCAGGUGUAGCGGUGAAAUGCGUAGAUAUCUGGAGGAACACCGGUGGCGAAGGCGGCAUCCUGGACCGACACUGACGCUGAGGUGCGAAAGCGUGGGGAGCAACAGG
rnacentral:rRNA from 1 species